rnacentral:rRNA from 1 species
AUCGAACGCUGGCGGCAGGCCUAACACAUGCAAGUCGAGCGGAUGAAGCGUGCUUGCUCCUGGAUUCCGCGGCGGACGGGUGUGUCAUGCCUAUGAGUCUGCCUGGUCGUGGGGGAUCAUGUCCUGAUACGGGCGCUGCUACUGCAUACGACCUGCGGGUGCAAGUGGGGGAGCUUCGGACCUCUUGCUCUCUUGUGAGCCUAGGUGGGAUUCGCUAGCUGGUGGGGUAAAGGCCUACCAAGGCGUCGUUCCGUAACUGGUCUGAGAGGAUGGUCAGGCAGACUGGAAGUGAGACAGGGUCAAGACUCCUACGGGAGGCAGCAGUGGGGAAUAGUGGGCAAUGGGGGAGAGGCUGAUCCAGCCAAGCCGCGUGUGGGAAGAAGGUGUUCGGAUGGGAAAGCACUGUAAGUUGGGAGAAAGGGCAGUAAGUUAAUACGUUGCGGUAUUGACGGUACCAGGAGAAGAAGCACCGGCUAACUUCGUG